UCAAUAUGCAAUAAACGCCAUAGACGUUUGGACCGCACAGUGGCGUAUUAAAUUAAAUGAAAAUAAGUCUGUUCACAUCAAUUUUACAAAUAGAAAAAUAAAUCAUCUUGCGGUGAAGUUAAAUAACAAUAUAAUUCCUCGCAAAGAAACUACUAAAUAUUUAGGACUUUACCUUGAUGCCAAGCUUAGUUGGAAAGUUCACGUUAAAAGGAAGACUGAACAAUUAAAACUCAAAUACAAAGCAUGUAUUGCCUGCUGGGAAGAGGUUCGCAGCUUUCCAUUAAAAACAAACUACUGGUUUACCAACAAGUCCUUAAACCAGUGUGGACAUAUGGCCUUCCGGUAUGGGGUUGUACCAAACGAAGCAAUUACAAUUGCCUACAAGUGUUCCAGGUUGUACCAAACGAAGCAAUUACAAUUGCCUACAAGUACUCCAGAACCGGCUACUAAGGAACAUCAUUAAUGCACCCUGGUACGUUCGGAAUGAGGAUCUGCAUCGUGAGCUACAAGUGCGGACAGUCAAAGAAGAAAUAGCGAUAGCAGCCAGGAGACAUGAAGAGAGACUCCACAACCAUCCGAAUGUUGAAGUACUUCAACUGCUAGAUAGCCAGAACACAGUGAGGAGGCUGAAAAGGACUAAACCGUUUGAGCUUGUGAACAUUAACGUGAAAUGAAUCGUGAAAAAGCAGAGUAUAGUGCGGGUUAGCCACAACAGUUUAGUGCGCGAAACCAUGCGAAAACCUGUGAUGGACCGCUGGGAAUAUUAUAGUUAACAAACCGUAGUAAUUUAGGUUAUAUUUAGGGUGCUUGUUAAUCUAAGAUUAGGUGAAUCAACAGCAACAACAAAAAAAAAAAAACUUGUCCACCCAGAGUCUUGGACAUCAAUUUGAUGUUAUUAACGUGUGUCUUUUAUCAAAUUGUUUGUGGCGAAUUUUUUUAAGUUCAUUUCAAUUUACCGAUACAUUUUCUAUUUGUAUGUGUGUUAUUUUCGGGAAAUCAAAAAUGCCUUAGCAAUAUUGUGAGGGCGAACAGCGGUUCAUUUUGCUCAUAUUUUCAACAUAUCACUAAGAUAUUGAAUGAGUUCCUCAUUUUUUUCGCCUAUUUUCUUCAUAGUUUGACUGCAAGUUUACCAGCACGAAAAUAACACACUUUAUUGAGGCAAAUUAAAAACUAAACUGUAGAAUCAGAGAAACACGAUCAAACUGAACUUCUGUCUAUGUGCAUGUCAAAAAAUGGUUUACGUUCGCAAAAACAAAAUCCAUUUUUUUUUCAGCUCGUCUUAGUAAAUAGUAGUAAAUAG